CCAGCAGCCGCGGUAAUACGAAGGGGGCUAGCGUUGCUCGGAAUCACUGGGCGUAAAGCGCACGUAGGCGGCUUUUUAAGUCAGGGGUGAAAUCCCCGGGCUCAACCUGGGAAUUGCAUUCGAGACUGCAUAGCUAGGGUGCGGAAGAGGGAAGCGGAAUUUCCGGUGUAGCGGUGAAAUGCGUAGAUAUCGGAAGGAACACCAGUGGCGAAAGCGGCUUCCUGGUCCAGCACCGACGUUCAGGCACGAAAGCGUGGGGAGCAAACAGGAUUAGAUACCCUGGUA
rnacentral:rRNA from 1 species